rnacentral:rRNA from 1 species
CGCGAACGCUGACGGCGUGCCUAACACAUGCAAGUCGAGGGGCAGCAGGCCGGGACUUUAGGGUUCUGGUGCUGGCGACCGGCGGACGGGUGAGUAACGCGUAAGUGACCUACCCCAUGGUCUGGGACAACUCUUUGAAAGGGGGGCUAAUACUGGAUAAGCUCACGGCAUUGAGGUGUUGUGAGAAAAGGUGGCGACUGGUUAUUUUCUUAUGGGGGUAAUCAAGCUACUGCCAUGGGAUGGGCCUGCGUCCUAUCAGCUAGUUGGUGGGGUAGUGGCCCACCAAGGCGACGACGGGUAGCCGGCCUGAGAGGGUGGUCGGCCACACUGGCACUGAGACACGGGCCAGACUCCUACGGGAGGCAGCAGUGGGGAAUAUUGGGCAAUGGGCGCAAGCCUGACCCAGCGACGCCGUGUGGGGGAAGAAGGCCUUCGGGUUGUAAACCCCUGUCGAGAGGGAAGAAUGGCUGUAUAGUUAAGAGCUAUACAGUUUGACGGUACCUCUGGAGGAAGCCCCGGCUAACUACGUGCCAGCAGCCGCGGUAACACGUAGGGGGCGAGCGUUGCGCGGAAUUACUGGGCGUAAAGGGUGCGUAGGCGGCCUGGUAAGUCGGAGGUGAAAUCCCACGGCUCAACCGUGGAGGUGCUUUCGAUACUGCUGGGCUUGAGGCCAGGAGAGGCUGGCGGAAUUCCCGGUGUAGCGGUGAAAUGCGUAGAUAUCGGGAGGAACACCGGUGGCGUAGGCGGUCAGCUGGCCUGGCGCUGACGCUGAGGCACGAAAGCGUGGGGAGCGAACCGGAUUAGAUACCCGGGUAGUCCACGCUGUAAACGAUGGAUGCUAGGUGUCAGGGGCUAUAUGUUCUUGGUGCCGAAGCCAACGCGAUAAGCAUCCCGCCUGGGUAGUACGGCCGCAAGUCUGAAACUCAAAGGAAUUGACGG